AUUGAACGCUGGCGGCAUGCCUUACACAUGCAAGUCGAACGGUAACAGGUCUUCGGAUGCUGACGAGUGGCGAACGGGUGAGUAAUACAUCGGAACGUGCCUAGUAGUGGGGGAUGACUACUCGGAAGAGUGGCUAAUACCGCAUGAGAUCUACGGAUGAAAGCAGGGGGUCGCAAGACCUUGUGCUACUAGAGCGGCCGAUGGCAGAUUAGGUAGUUGGUGGGAUAAAAGCUUACCAAGCCGAAGAUCUGUAGCUGGUCUGAGAGGACGAUCAGCCGCACUGGGACUGAGACACGGCCCAGACUCCUACGGGAGGCAGCAGUGGGGAAUAUUGAACAAUGGGCGAAAGCCUGAUCCAGCAAUGCCGCGUGCAGGAUGAAGGCCUUCGGGUUGUAAGCUGCUUUUGUACGGAACGAAAAGCCCCGGGUUAAUACCCUGGGGUCAUGACGGUACCGUAAGAAUAAGCACCGGCUAACUACGUGCCAGCCGCCGCAGUAA
rnacentral:rRNA from 1 species